rnacentral:lncRNA from 1 species
CCAACAACACGAAAAUCUUUCGCACGCCUAUGCUUGCUGAUCUGUUGCUGUGGCUGAAGGAGCUCCGGGAAGAAUUCACAGGGCUUUUCUGGAAGUGGGGCCUUUGGUGAAGAAGCUUGGCUUGAGGAAAAGAGAAGGAAGAAGCUUCGAGAGCACGGCUGCAGGUUGGCCAGCAUGGAACAUGUUCUCACAGACAAAGUGGGAGACACACACACUCCUUUGCUGUCAUACAUAAGAGAAUGGUGGAUAGUACAGGAAACAACCUGCUUGCAUUAA